CUGAAAAGUUGUGUGUGUAUAACAGGUUGAUGUGAUGGAAAAAGUUAGAAGUUUGGAUCCAAAGUUCGGAUCUAAACACAGCCUAUAUAUACCACGAAUAUACG
rnacentral:misc_RNA from 1 species